UACGUAGGGUGCAAGCGUUGUCCGGAAUUAUUGGGCGUAAAGAGCUCGUAGGCGGUCUGGCGCGUCGGAUGUGAAAAUCCAGGGCUCAACCCUGGACCUGCAUUCGAUACGGGCAGACUAGAGUUCGGCAGGGGAGACUGGAAUUCCUGGUGUAGCGGUGAAAUGCGCAGAUAUCAGGAGGAACACCGGUGGCGAAGGCGGGUCUCUGGGCCGAUACUGACGCUGAGGCGCGAAAGCGUGGGGAGCGAACAGG
rnacentral:rRNA from 1 species